rnacentral:rRNA from 1 species
GACAGAGGGUGCAACCGUUGUUCGGAAUUACUGGGCGUAAAGCGUGUGUAGGCGGCUACGCAAGUCGGAUGUGAAAGCCCCGGGCUCAACCCGGGAAGUGCACCCGAAACUGCGUGGCUUGAGUACCGGAGAGGUUGGUGGAAUUCUCGGUGUAGAGGUGAAAUUCGUAGAUAUCGAGAGGAACACCGGUGGCGAAGGCGGCCAACUGGACGAGUACUGACGCUGAGACACGAAAGCGUGGGGAGCAAACAGG